UGAAAUCCUGUACGACAUAGCCUGUGUGUUUGCUCUGCCUCCAUGCCAUUGCACCUCUCUAACAUUCCUCUGCAGAAGUUCUUCCAUCAUUUUAUUUUUUUCUUUUCUUUUUAUUCCUUUCAACCGAUAUGAACUUUCAAGCGGACUUUAUCAAAUAUAAAAAAUGGGAGCUGCUCAGGUAUGAGAUCUCAGUAGGCAAAGUUAAUUAUUUCGCUUCAAUGCAAUCUUUAGAUUAAAAAAAUGGGUUUAGCUGCAUUGACCCAACUGCCCAAAUUUUGUUAUUUGUACAACAAUUUCAUUAUGUCAAUUUUUUAGAAUAAGUUUUAUUAAUUUAGUUUGGCCUUAUUUACAGCUUAGUUCUAUACAAUUUAUUUUUAUAAAAUAUUUAUUUAUUCGAUUUGAUUUACUUUAGAAUAAUUCUUUAUUGGGUUUAAUUUAGUUUGAAUUUAUAUAUAACUUAAUUUAUUUGGUUUGAUUCAGUUUUAAGUUUAUAUAUAAGUUAGUUUAUUCAAUGUAGAUAGUUCAGUUUAAUAUCUAACCGAAAAAGAAUGCUAACCUCUAAGCUACAUGAUUGUAAUUAGCUCAGCUCAUUUGCUACAAUUUACCUUUCAACACGUAAACAGUAUUUCACGGAAUUCACAUAUUAGUUUAUUUCCAAAAUCUUACAUGAGUUUAUAGAAAUUAAUAAGUCAAUUAAAAUUAUUCAAAUAGUUAGUAACGUGUCUAAGUUAGUACUCACAAGUUCCUAUAGUAAGUGUAAGUUUAACACGAGAUCGAUCUCUCAAGAAAUUAUUAGGUCACUUAUUAUAAAGAUUAAUUAUUAAUAGAAAAUAAUAAAAUUAUUCAUUAAAUAAAUUAAAUAAAUAAUAAAAUAAAUAUGCAAUGAUGUGAUGUAUAAAAACUAUAUACUAAAUACAGUAUUUAGCCUAGCCAUUUACUUAGUAAUUUCUUUAUUUUACUUUAAUCAUAUAUCUAAUAAAUGAAAUGGUAAUGUGCUUUUUCUUUCAAUUACUCAAGCUAAUGAUGCAACUAAAAUUUCUUUUACCAACAUAGAUUAAAAAGAUCGCUCUAAUACAUUCAACAUAAAUAAUGUUUAACUAACAAUAAUAACUGAAACUAAUAAAUAUAUAGAGGUAAAAAAAUCACUCAUUAAAUAAAUAAAUAACAAAAUUCAUAUAUAAGUAAAAAGGUUAAACUAAAUAUUUAUGAAAACUAGUAUAACAUAUUUAAUCUAAUGAUCAUAGUAUUAAAUAGAAAAACAUAAAAUAAUAAAGUAAAAGCUUCCUCUAGAUUUAGAAUUUUUUCAAGUAUGAAGAUAAUUGGUCAUCACUCUCCACUUCUUGAAAAGCUCAUUAAAUCUUAUAAACUAAAGUAUUUAUGAAAGAAUUAUAGAAAAAAUAAUAGUGAACAUAUAUAGAAAACAAAUAAGAGAGAGCUCUAAUCCUCUUCUAGAACUAGGUUUGUAGAAAUAUAUAUAAAGAAGAGUCAUUCUCUAAGUAAGUAUCUCUAGAGAUAAGUAUAUAAAUAUAAGUCUAUUUGGUAGAUAAAAGUAUAAGUAUAAUUAUCUCUACUAAAUACUAUCUCAUAAAUAACUUUUAAUAUAAAUAAUAAUAAUUGUAAAAUGUCCCUUGGAGCUCGUAAUUUUUUUGCUAGGCCUUGCAAAUAGUAAUCUAUGCAUCUUAAUUUUAGAUUUUGACAAAAACACAUCCAAUUAAGUUUUUUUUUUAAGUAUUUAACUCUAUAUUUUUUUUCUUUUUGUUAAUAUUAUAUGAAAAUAGACAAUUAAAUUUAAAUGAAGUAAAAAUAUAUAUUUUUAUCAUAUUAUAUAUAAAAAUUAAUAUUAUUAAAACUCUAAAUAUUUAUAUAUAAUUCUAACCUCUCAGUUAGUUCUGGUUCUGGUUAUUUAGUUGGAUUUAUGCAGAAUGAAACUCAAUUCUUAACGCACCAAAUUUUUGUUAAUAAAAUCUACAUUUUAUCAAUUAAAUUAUCUCGCUAUAUUUUACUUGUAGUAGGCACGUUAUGAAGAAGGCAGCAACUGCCGGACCCAAUUUAUUUUCUUAAAACAAAAAUGUCGAUUCUUAGAAUAUUCCUUCACUACAUAAUAAUUUCUCUUAGAAUAGGAAUUUCAGGUAUUGGGUUCGGGCAUUAAUAUGUAAAGUGCGUUUAGCUUUUGGGAUUGGAAUAUCUCAAUUUUAAUUUUAGAUUGUUUUAUAAAUUCCAAAAAUUAUCCUUUUAUGAAUUUAUAAUUUUAUCAAAAACGAAUAACAGUUUGUAAAUAAUUUUAAGACUAAUAUUUAAAGUUAAAAAAUUUAAAAUCUAUUUUUUGUAUCUCAGUCCAACUAUUCAUUUCUAGAAGUAAGGCAGAAAAUGGAGGUUGGCCCACCCUCUCCAAACUUCUCACUCGCUGCAUUGACAUAUUAGCGUACUAGAUUGGGUCCCUGCUGUUCUUAAGAUCAUGCCUCCGAUCAAAUAAAAUAAUGUACCCUUCUUCUACACACUUCUAACAAGGCCACCUGUCCCUGUCUGAUGCAAUGCUACUCUAUCAUGUCCGAAAUAAGAAAAACUAAUAAUCAAAUAACUAAUCUCAUCUCUAUCCUGAUCACUGUCUGGAAAGCCGCACAUUGAUGGAUUCCAGGCGACGGCAAGGAUUGGAAACAAAAUAAAACACCUUCUAGCAUAAUCAAUCAUAUCAUAUCAUGUAAAAUUAGCAGAUACUCGACCGAUUCAAACACGCACAGAAAAGAAAAAAGAAAAAAAAACUGAAAUUUUGCUACCUCAUAAUUCUCUACACAAGAUAGAAAGAAUGUACAAUGCAGAGUCCUGUGGAAAAAGACUAAAAUUAAGCAGGUGCUGGAAGUAAAAGGGGAUGAGAAGAGGAAGCGAAAGGAAGACUGCGGAGAAUGAGAAAACGAACUCGCCUUGGGAAAGGGGCAUCAUGAAAUAUGUGCUCCAGCACCCUUCCCAGCAGCGCUGUGUACUCCUCCAUCAGCUCUGCAACUAUUGCUACCAGUAUCAUCUUUCUCUCUUUCUUUUUAUAAAAUUCAAGUCCCACCUCUGCUCGAUAAGAGACUUUGAAGAUUGGAUUUCCUUUUAUAGGAUAUUUCCUCUUUUAUUUUAUUUUUCUCUUGUCAACAGCCACUUUGGGUUCUGGUUAUCUCUCUUCUCUUUAGCAGACUAGACGAAAUAGAUGAAAUCCGUCUAGAUUUUGGGAUUCGGUGGAUUGUGUUAGUUUUGCGUUUCAAUGGCAAUUACCACGGCGCCAUCAAUUAGCAGAAGAUAGCACUUUGCUUUUCCAGUGUGCUGCCCUGCCCUGCUGUACUUACCCACCACGUGGCCUUCCUCAGGAAUAAGACUAUGAUACCAUUUUUUCCUUUGUUUUUUUUGUCUAUUCUAUUGUUUUUUAUCCUUAUCCUCUCCUUCCACCAUACAUCAUUGCUAUAGUUAAGUCAUCACUCAUCCUAAUAGUUCUAUUUAAAGAUUAGUCCUACACCAGUUGGCACCACUUUUGUAUCAUUUUAUUAUUCUUAACUUUUAUCAGUUUAGAUAAACUUCAGAAUUGUUAAAUUAAUCUCCUCUCGACCCGACAAUAUCUUAUUAUUCUUAAAGCAGCAAUAUUUUCUAUUAGGGUUUUGGGUGUCUUACGUGUAAGAGCUAAGCUAGAAUAUUUAGAUAACUAUUCCCGCCAUUUUAAUGUUAUACAUCCACCUUUGGGUUUAAAAUUCAAGGUAAAAAGUAAGAACCGUAAAUUUUCCUAAACUACUCCAGCUUAAAAUCAGACUGCUAGAAUGCUACUCCUUUUCUCCCCAAAAAUAUUUAUCCUGCGAAUUAAAAAAUAUAACUUUUUUUAAUUAAAAUUAUUUUUUAAUAUAUUUGUAUUAAAUGCGAUAAAUUUAAUAAAUUUCCUUAUACUAAACUAAUAAUUGAAAAGGAACCUACAAUAUAGAAAGAUAAAACAUAAAAAGACUAUUUUUUUGGGAUUCAAAUUUGGUUAAAUACACCGCCAAUGUGUAACAAAGCCAAAUCAACCACCGGGGGAGAAAUAAAAAAUGUAAUGUUUAUACCCAGUUCAUGAGUAAAGCCAUAAUUCCACUUUUUUUUACCUAACCAACGACUGCACAUCAGAGAUAAACAUCACCCAGUACUGCACAUUGCUGCUCCCUCGACCUACGCAUGCACCAUUAUAAUUAUAAGACUACACCAUCCUCCUCAAGGACAAACUACGCCUAUAACCAUUCUAUAGUCUGACCGACUUCAUAAUACAAGUAAUCUUUAUCCACAUUCCAACAAGAACUAGGAAAAGGACAAGGACUAACAGAAUCCCAACUAUAUAAACUGAUGAUGAACUGCGGCCCCGUUUUACUGGAGCUAAAUCAGGUAAUGCCGACGACUCUAUCUCACUGCUGCCAGAUUUACCAUUCUGUUUCACCCUCAACCUUAAAUUCAAAGAAGAUUCCUUGGUAAUCUUUUCGCUCUCCUUUGAAUUGUCUAGCUGCCUUUCCUUCUGCAGUUCAUCAAAGGCAGGAUUAUGAUCUUCAGCAUUUGCUGCCUGCAUCAAGUGACAAAUUAUACCAGGUCAAUCAAAAAUAGGUCCGCUCUACAAGGAUUCAUACAUUGCACCAACACCUGAUGACACUUACCUCUGUUGCACCCGAUUGAACUUCAUCUUCAUCUCCUAGGCUUCUGUGACUUGCGUCUCUUUCCACUCCCUUUCCAGCAGGCACUGUAGCAAUUUUCAUCUGCAAACGGAGUCUUCUUGGAGCAGUGCCCUGACUUGCAAAGUUAUCUGCAUGAGAGCGCACCUGAGGCUGGCGGGUUCUAAUCUUAAUCCCAGUUCCACCGACAGCACUGCGUUGGUUUCCAGGACUCAAUUCCUUGAUUGAUUCUUCCAUGUCAUUGAAUAAAUUGAAGGAUGGUCCCACUGCAGAAAGAGCAGAUGGAGCAUCCUGCUUAACAGACUCAUGGCCAAGGUCACAAAUAUUACUUCUUCCAAGUUCUUCAUCAAAGGAUGAUGUUUGAGUUCUCCAAUAUCCGUAUGAUGCUUGCAUCUGCAAUAUUUCCAUGUUAUAAAAACAUAAUGAGGCUCCCAUCACCUAGUCAUUCUAAUAAUACAUGCAAAAGACAACUAAUUGAUUUACAAAUGUCUUAAAUUUCAUUAUUAGCUAUGGGGACAAAAUCUGAGCGAUCAAAUCUUGCUAUAUAAGGGAAAUAAGAUUACUACAUGGAAUUUAACAUUUUCACAGCCAUAAAGCUAAACACGGAAAGGUUCAGAGUGGUGCAAAAUAGUGGUGAACAGAUAUCAGCAGUAAGCAAUUUACCUGGACCUGAGCCAUUCCCUUGUUGGUUUCAUUGUAUGCGCCAUUAUCCUUGAUAUGGAAGUUUUGCCAUGGUAUACGAGCAGGCAACUGAGUCUCACUUCCAACAAUCGAGUUCUUUAGAGUGGUUAACCUUUCACCAGAAUAGUCAUCGUUGUUAUUAAAUACCUCACCCAACAACUCCGUUAGGGAGACAUCAGGUUCACUAGUGCCAUCCAUAAAAUUGAAACCAUUAUCAUCAUUGCCAAAAUCACAUGCAUAAGGGGAAUCCAUGUAAUGCGCUAGGCCCGCAUGAGUAUCAUAUGGCAUUGGGGAGAAAACUUUGCAAUCAAUUUCACCAGUCAUGGGCUCAAAUAAAUUAGAAUCUUCCUCCAGUGGUGGAUAUACCUAUAAAAGGCCAAAAAUACGGAAGUUAUUAAACAAAGCACUAAGAACAUGCAGACUUUCAUGAAGAUAAACUCGUAUGCAGUGGCCUAUAGAAUUCCAAUAGCAAUACAAUCUGGUGCUCACUCCCAAAGCUGUCGCUUCUGCUGCAUGAUCUUCGACUUCCGAGUGACUAUUGCAACAGCUAUCCACAUGUAAUGAAGCACUAGAGAUCAUGUUAUCUGAAUCAUCUACCGUCCAACUUGUUAUCCCUUCAGAUUGUUUCCCUACUUGCAUGACAGAUGUUUCUGUUUCUUGAACUAUAUCUGAUGAGGUGUCAUCAGGUGAGGACUUCGAAGUGGUAGGGGAGUAUCCAGUUUGCUCUACUUCAUCAUAUNNNNNNNNNNNNNNNNNNNNNNNNNNNNNNNNNNNNNNNNNNNNNNNNNNNNNNNNNNNNNNNNNNNNNNNNNNNNNNNNNNNNNNNNNNNNNNNNNNNNNNNNNNNNNNNNNNNNNNNNNNNNNNNNNNNNNNNNNNNNNNNNNNNNNNNNNNNNNNNNNNNNNNNNNNNNNNNNNNNNNNNNNNNNNNNNNNNNNNNNNNNNNNNNNNNNNNNNNNNNNNNNNNNNNNNNNNNNNNNNNNNNNNNNNNNNNNNNNNNNNNNNNNNNNNNNNNNNNNNNNNNNNNNNNNNNNNNNNNNNNNNNNNNNNNNNNNNNNNNNNAAUAUUCAUUCACCACUUUUUCAUCAAUAUUCCAUCAGUAUGUGCAUUUUAGAACAGUAACAAGUCAACAGAAGAUACCACAAAACUCUAUACGGAAAAUGCGAGAACAGCAAUACCUAAGGAACACUAUAACACAAAAUCAGUGAAGUCAAGCAAAGAGCCUGAGAAAAACUAAGAACUAGAAAAACUUAGCAUCCGAGGAGGUCUUCAAUAAAAGGGACAAAUGCUUCCAUGUUUCGCCAAGAAUGGGCAACAUUUGACAAAAGAAAUGUGUAUAUAAUCGCAUAAGAGAAAAUACAAUGCUUAAGGCCAGUACAAAGAAUGUUGGAAAUUUAAACAGUUCUUUUUAUCGCAUAACACAUAGAAAGUAGACAGAAUUACUGGAAGAUGCAGGUCAAAAAAAAGGUAAGGUAAGGGAAAAGAAAGUAACCUGGCCAGGGGCAGAACCAUCAAGAUCUUUAAGAGUAGGGCGAUACUCGUGCAUAAUCCAAUUGGUGCGCUCCCCCUUUGGAGCACGCCCCCUAUAGAAAACCAAAGUCUUUUUCAUGCCAAUACAGAUAGGAUUGGACCCUGACUUUCGAGCUCUGAUGGUGCGGUCCUUGCCUGUUGCUUUCCAGUAGCCAGCAUCGGUGGCCCUGUUGGAACGCUGACCGUUGGGAUACUUGCGGUCACGCGGGCAGAAGAAGAACCAUUCGGGAUCAUCUGUCUUUAUUACUGAUAGACCUGACACCGAUAAGAAUACUAGAAGUUCAAAGCAAAGCAUUUGUAAUUUUCUUUAAAAAAAAAAAAAGAAAGAAAGAAAAAAGCUACUACUGUAGAGAUAUUGGAAAUUCUAGUAGAGAAACCUCAAAUUGAGAAUUAGGAAGAGUUUUUAAUAGAGAGGGAAAUCUUAAAGAUUAAGGAACCGACAGAUAUGCAAAAGAAGAAUUAUUCAUAGUGCUGUAACGGAAAAGAAAUUGAUCCAAGAUUCAUAAGAAUUGUUCCUUCCUAAUUAAAUUUAUUACUUUUAUUUUAAUAUUCGGCAAAUAUCAAAAGAAAAGAAAAAAGAAAGGAGUUUUUUAUUUUGUAGGAAACUGAACCAGGUAAAUCCCAGGGCUCCCAUUUGCAAACAUCGACUUCAGAGAUGACGUCCACUUCAGAAUCACGGCCGUUGAUCUUCAGCCUGAGGUAGUGAUUUAUCAGCUCUUCGUCCG
rnacentral:lncRNA from 1 species